ACAGGACGAACGCUGGCGGCGUGCCUAAUACAUGCAAGUCGAACGGUCUUUCUAUGGAAGCUUGCUUCCACUGAGAAGAUAGUGGCGAACGGGUGAGUAACACGUGGGUAACCUGCCCAUAAGAGGGGGAUAACAUCCGGAAACGGGUGCUAAUACCGCAUAGUUUUCUUGAUCGCAUGAUCGGGAAAGGAAAGACGGCCUUUGUGCUGUCGCUUAUGGAUGGACCCGCGGCGUAUUAGUUAGUUGGUGAGGUAACGGCUCACCAAGACGAUGAUACGUAGCCGACCUGAGAGGGUGAUCGGCCACAUUGGGACUGAGACACGGCCCAAACUCCUACGGGAGGCAGCAGUAGGGAAUCUUCCGCAAUGGACGAAAGUCUGACGGAGCAACGCCGCGUGAGUGAAGAAGGUUUUUCCGGAUCGUAAAACUCUGUUGUCAGAGAAGAACAAGUUGGAGAGUAACUGCUCCAGCCUUGACGGUAUCUGACCAGAAAGCCACGGCUAACUACGUGCCAGCAGCUGC
rnacentral:rRNA from 1 species